UGGGCUCAAGCAAUACUUUUACCUCAACCUCCUGAGUAACUGGGACUACAGUGGCAGAAGUGUCAGGACAGUCUGCACGGGCAAGAAUGAUACCUAAAUCACUACUCAGGCACAGGAGAGAGCAGGACUGGCAUGGCUGGCAGUUCUCUAUGUAGCAGGCGCUGUACUUUGGCCAAGCCAAUCUCCAUUUGCAACAUGUUUCUCCCUUACUUGACUCCACUAUAGAGAGAGUAAAAGCUAAAUUUUGAUGUUCCACCCCCACCCCCUUAUUGAUAUGAGAAAUAAGUCUUCUGGUGCAUUCCUCUCCAAUUUCUGUCUUCUUUCCACUUGAGCUGCCAGGAGAUGCAACAGUCGUUUUGAAACCAAAAAGAUAAAAACUGCAUACUAAGAAUGCAUGAACCUAAAGAUUUACAGAGCCUGGGACACUGGGGAUACUUGGAGUCAAUGUAUCAGCCUUGGACUGAUUCCCAUGGGACUUCUUAUUACCCAAGUGAAACAGUCCUUCCUUUCAUCUGUUAAGCCACUAUGGUAUGUUUUGCUGGUUCUCGUAGCCAAAUACAGUUUUGACUGCUAUACCCAUUUUUUUCUUAUGGAUGUUCAUGACUUCUUUUAUAUUGUGGAUUGUAUUGUGAAUAUGUAUCUUAUUUGUUGCAAAUAUUUUCUCAGUCUUUUUGUCCUUUAAUUUAAGAUAUUAUUCAAUGCUUG
rnacentral:lncRNA from 1 species